rnacentral:rRNA from 1 species
GAUGAACGCUAGCUACAGGCUUAACACAUGCAAGUCGCGGGGCAGCAUGGGGGUUGCUUGCAAUCCCCGAUGGCGACCGGCGCACGGGUGAGUAAUGCGUAUCCAACCUGCCCUUCACCACGGGAUAACCCGGCGAAAGUCGGACUAAUACCGUAUGUUGUCCAUUGACGGCAUCCGAUUUGGACGAAAGGCUUGGCGGUGAGGGAUGGGGAUGCGUCCGAUUAGCCAGACGGCGGGGUAACGGCCCACCGUGGCUACGAUCGGUAGGGGUUCUGAGAGGAAGGUCCCCCACACUGGAACUGAGACACGGUCCAGACUCCUACGGGAGGCAGCAGUGAGGAAUAUUGGUCAAUGGGCGUAAGCCUGAACCAGCCAAGUAGCGUGCAGGAUGACGGCCCUAUGGGUUGUAAACUGCUUUUAUGCGGGGAUAAAGUGGCCCACGUGUGGGCUUUUGCAGGUACCGCAUGAAUAAGGACCGGCUAAUUCCGUG